AGUGAACGCUGGCGGUGGGCCUAAGACAUGCAAGUCGAGCGGGGGUACAGUAAGGGCUUGCUCUUACGGGUGGCGAGUGGCGGAGGGGUGAGGGAUGCAUCGGAUUCUACUUUUUCGUGGGGGACAACGUAGGGCCACUUAAGCUGAUAGGGCAUACGACGUACGGCUGAAAGCAGAGGAUAUUCGCACAUUGCGCGACUCAAUGAGCUGAUGUCGGAUUAGCUAGUGGGCGGGGUAAAGGCCCACCAAGGCCAGGAACCGUAGCUGAUCUGAGAGGAUGGCCGGCCACACUGGAAGUGAGACACGGACCACCCACCUACGGGAGGCAGCAGUCGGGAAUAUUCAGCAAUGGGCGCAAGCCUGAUAGAGCCAUGCCGCGUGGGUGAAGAAGGCCUCCGGCUCGUAAAACCCUCUUGUUGGGGAAGAAAAGCAGCAGGUUAAUAGCCAGCCGUGCUGACGGUAGCCAAAGAAAAAGCAACGGCUAACUACGUG
rnacentral:rRNA from 1 species